rnacentral:rRNA from 1 species
GUCUGCUUGAAGAUAUAAGAAGUCUAGCCUGCUCUCUGAUAAUUUUAAGGGCCGCGGUAAUUUGACCGUGCAAAGGUAGCAUAAUAGUUAGUUUUUUAAUUGAAAUCUUGUAUGAAUGGUUGGACAAAAGAAAUACUGUCUCUAUAAUUAUUUUUGAAUUUAACUUUUAAGUGAAAAGGCUUAAAUAUUUUAAAAAGACGAUAAGACCCUAUAAAGCUUUAUAAGAAGUCUAUAUUUAGUUGAAAUAAAUAAUAAAAUUUUGAUAUGUGCUCUUAUUUUAUUGGGGAGAUAAGAUUAUAAAUUAAUAUAACUAAGUUUUAUUAAAACAGAAAUAAAUGUUUAUAGAAAUAUAAAAGAUCCUUUUUAUGGAUUUUAAGUUUAAGUUACUUUAGGGAUAACAGCGUUAUUUCUCUUAAGAGUUCAUAUCGAAAGAGGAGAUUGCGACCUCGAUGUUGAAUUAAAAUUUCUAGAUUAUUGCAGAAGUAGUCUUAGAAGGUCUGUUCGACCUUUAAAUUUUUACAUGAUUUGAGUUCAGACCGGCGUGAGCCAGGUCGGUUUCUAUCUUUUAAUAAAUUAAAAGCUAUUUUAGUACGAAAGGAUUUAAUAGCUGAAUUAAAUUUUGAUUUGAUUGGUUAUUUUGGCAGAGAUAAAUGUGUUGGA